UGUUACAAUGGGGGGUACAGAGGGCCGCUACCACGCGAGUGGAUGCCAAUCCCUAAAACCCCUCUCAGUUCGGACUGGAGUCUGCAACCCGACUCCACGAAGCUGGAUUCGCUAGUAAUCGCGCAUCAGCCACGGCGCGGUGAAUACGUUCCCGGGCCUUGUACACACCGCCCGUCAAGCCAUGGGAGCCGGGGGUACCUGAAGUGCGUAACCGCGAGGAUCGCCCUAGGGUAAAACUGGUGACUGGGGCUAAGUCGUAACAAGGUAAC
rnacentral:rRNA from 1 species